GACGGGUAUCCGGCCUGAGAGGGUGAACGGACACACUGGAGCUGAGACACGGUCCAGACUCCUACGGGAGGCAGCAGUAGGGAAUAUUGCUCAAUGGGGGAAACCCUGAAGCAGCAACGCCGCGUGGAGGAUGAAGGUUUUAGGAUUGUGAGCUCCUUUUGUUAAGAAGAUUAUGGCGGGAGCAGACGCCCGAGUGGCGUCCACC
rnacentral:rRNA from 1 species